UACAGGGGGUGCAAGCGUUGUUCGGAAUUACUGGGCGUAAAGGGCGCGUAGGCGGCCCGCUAAGUCGAACGUGAAAUCCCUGGGCUCAACCCAGGAACUGCGUCCGAUACUGGCAGGCUUGAAUCCGGGAGAGGGAUGUGGAAUUCCAGGUGUAGCGGUGAAAUGCGUAGAUAUCUGGAGGAACACCGGUGGCGAAGGCGGCAUCCUGGACCGGUAUUGACGCUGAUGCGCGAAAGCCAGGGGAGCAAACGGG
rnacentral:rRNA from 1 species